GAAAAAAACUGAUAAAAAUAAAAACAAAAAUAAAAAAUGUUAAAACAGGGUUUGUUUAUCUGCUCGCUUCUUGCAAGUCUUGGUGUCAUUUACUCAUUUACUAAUUUUCCAUCUCAUAAACCA
rnacentral:ribozyme from 12 species